rnacentral:rRNA from 1 species
GAGCACGUAGGUGGGUUUGUAAGUCAGCUGUGAAAGCCUUCUGCUUAACGGAAGAACAGCAGUUGAAACUACAGUGCUUGAGUGCGGGAGGGGAGAGUGGAACUUCUGGUGGAGCGGUGAAAUGCGUAGAUAUCAGAAGGAACGCCGGCGGCGAAAGCGGCUCUCUGGCCCGUAACUGACGCUGAGUGUGCGAAAGCUAGGGGAGCAAACGGGAUUAGAUACCCCGGUAGUCCUAGCCGUAAACGAUGGGCACUAAGUAGAGGGGUUUU